AGCUCCAAUAGCGUAUAUUAAAGUUGUUGCAGUUAAAAAGCUCGUAGUUGGAUUUCUGGUAGGAGGGACCGGUCAGAUCAUUGAUCUGUACUUGUGUCCUCUCCCGCCAUCUUUGGGUGGAUCCUUUCUGGCAUUAAGUUGUCGGGAAGGGGAUGCUCAUCUUUUACUGUGAAAAAAUUAGAGUGUUCAAAGCAGACUUAUGUCAUUGAAUAUAUUAGCAUGGAAUAAUAAGAUAGGGCUUCAGUACUAUUUUGUUGGUUUGCGUACCGAGGUAAUGAUUAAAAGGGACAGUUGGGGGUAUUCGUAUUCAGUAUUCAGUGGUGAAAUACUUAGAUCUACGGAAGACGAACUACUGCGAAAGCAUUUACCAAGGAUGUUUUCA
rnacentral:rRNA from 1 species